rnacentral:lncRNA from 1 species
GUUAAGGUGAAGAGCUCCUACAAACUUCCAGCUCCCAAGGCUACUGCUGCUCCUGCUAAGAAGAAACCGGCAGCCAAACCAGCAAAGAAGGCAACCAAAGCUAAGCCGAAGCCAAAACCAAAAUCUGCUGCUCCAAAGGCUAAAGCUGCAACGAAACCAAAAUCUGCUGCUAAAGCUGUUGUGAAACCAAAACCCGCAGCGAAGACUAAGGCAGUUGCUGCAGCAAAGGCGAAAACAGCUGAGAAGGUGAAGAAAACUCCUGUGAAAACUAAGGCAAAGGCAGCGCCGAAGGAGAAGCCGGCUAAGGUAGCAAAGACACCAACAAGGUCGACUCCGUCGAGGAAAGCCGCACCUGCGGCAAAGCCAGCGGCUAAAAAGGCACCGGUGAAGAAAACUCCGGUGAAGAGUGUGAAAGCUAAGAGUGUCAAGUCGCCGGCGAAGAAGGCAUCUGUUAGAAAGGCUAAGAAGUGA